rnacentral:tRNA from 1 species
GGCCCUGUAGCUCAAUUGGCAGAGCAGGCGACUCUUAAUCGUCUGGUUGGAGGUUCGAGUCCUCCCAGGGUCACCA